rnacentral:rRNA from 1 species
AACGAACGCUGGCGGCAUGCCUAACACAUGCAAGUCGAACGAGACCUUCGGGUCUAGUGGCGCACGGGUGCGUAACGCGUGGGAACCUGCCCUUAGGUUCGGAAUGACUCAGAGAAAUUUGAGCUAAUACCGGAUAAUGUCUUCGGACCAAAGAUUUAUCGCCUUUGGAUGGGCCCGCGUAGGAUUAGCUUGUUGGUGGGGUAAUGGCCUACCAAGGCGACGAUCCUUAGCUGGUCUGAGAGGAUGAUCAGCCACACUGGGACUGAGACACGGCCCAGACUCCUACGGGAGGCAGCAGUGGGGAAUAUUGGACAAUGGGCGAAAGCCUGAUCCAGCAAUGCCGCGUGAGUGAUGAAGGCCUUAGGGUUGUAAAGCUCUUUUACCAGGGAUGAUAAUGACAGUACCUGGAGAAUAAGCUCCGGCUAACUCCGUG